rnacentral:rRNA from 1 species
UUAGAUACCCUAUUAUACUAAUAAUAACUCAGAUUAAUAACAGUUAUGUUCUUGAAAUUUAAAGAAUUUGGCGGUGAUUUAGUCUUGUUAGAGGAACCUGUUUUUAAAUCGAUAUUCCACGUAAAAUCUUACUCACUUUAUUUAAGUUUAUAUACCGUCAUUAUCAGAUAAUUUUUAAAAAAUUAAUUGUUAAAUUUUAAAGAAGUUAAGCAAAAUUAGAUCCAGGUGUAGCUGAUAGGUGAGUUAAAAUGGGUUACAAUAAAUUUUAUUUAUUACGGAGUAAUUAUAGGAAGAGAUAUUAAUGAAGGAGGAUUUAAUUGUAAUACGAGUUUAAUAAGCUUUAAAGAUAUAAGCUCUAAAUCAUGUACAUAUCGCCCGUCGCUA